rnacentral:rRNA from 1 species
UACGUAGGGUCCGAGCGUUGUCCGGAAUUAUUGGGCGUAAAGGGCUCGUAGGCGGUUUGUCACGUCGGGAGUGAAAACUCAGGGCUCAACCCUGAGCGUGCUUCCGAUACGGGCAGACUAGAGGUAUGCAGGGGGGAACGGAAUUCCUGGUGUAGCGGUGGAAUGCGCAGAUAUCAGGAGGAACACCGGUGGCGAAGGCGGUUCUCUGGGCAUUACCUGACGCUGAGGAGCGAAAGCAUGGGGAGCGAACAGG